UCAUCCACAGUCUGGAUGGAUGGCCAGUCCUUGCACUCCUGGCUCCGUGCUCUGGGAGACUGCCUGAACAGCAAAGCCCUCCUUUUCUCAAGUGAGCAAGGACAGUGGAAGGGAGCCCAUGAUAUGGGGAGUGUGGAAUCGUGUGUUAUUUCACGAGGGUUUCGCACUGGCUGCACGUGGGCUCCAAGGCAGAGACUCCCCUGACUGGUCUUGUCAUCUCCAGUCCUGACUGAGCUGACGUGGGGCAGGCACUUGCUCCUCCCAGGAGAAAUGGGCUCAAGCGCGACGUCACCUCAGUCAUGGAGCUGUCACAGCUACAGAUGUGUGGUGGUGCCGUGGGCUGAUUACUGCUACAGAUGGAGUGACAGCAUUUUGAGAUGAGGCCAUUCUGGACAGAGAGGCAAACUCUCCUGGGAGCCCUGCACUGAGCACCGCAGGACCUCUCAGAGCGGGCGAUGGUCCUCCGUUUCACUGCCUCUGAAGAGCCAGGAGCUGGGGAACCAAUGCUGAGCACCAAGGUACAAAUGCCGACGGAGCUGUUCUCCACCCCUGCUCUGAGGGAAUGUCUUUCUCGGCCCACUCAGGACGCCACUUCAGUUCAGGAAGGGACCUGCCAGAGAAAGGAAAGGAGAAGAGAAAGAGCAGUGUUUUUCCUCAGCUCAUCCAGUAAAAAAGUCCUGGAGCCCUUUGUGGUGGAGGGGAAUGUGGCUGAGCACAGAGGCUGAGGCAGAAGAGCCGGCUGCUGAGCUCCUGGAGGGCUGCGUGUCCCCUGCUGGGCCGUGAGCCCGUGAACCCAGGACCAGGAAAAUUUGCUGUCAAAUCCCAGCAUGAUUCACUUCUUGAUUUUCCCCUAUGCCUGACUUCAAUACCAAGCUCUGCUUUCUACAAAAGCCCGGAGGCAUGAAAUGGAUUAGCUCUUGGAAAACUGGGAGACACCCUUUCCCCAAUCGUUGCAUGGUUGCCAGCUGGCCAGAGGGAGAGAAAUGAGAAGUGAUUCCUGCUGUCUGCACUCCAUCCCCUCCUGUCCCUGCUCCUCUGGAGAUCCAGGUGGCCGGGACCCCGGGCAGAACCAUGGCCCUCCUCUAUGACCUCCCCCCAUCACCAUCUGUCCCCAUCCCUCCUGGACCCUGUUCCUGAGCUGUUUCUUGUUGUAACCCUGCAGGUCUCCCAUCCCCUUUGCUCUCCUUCUUUACUGUGUUAAUUGAGAACACCAAGACUCUCCUUCAUCUUCGGGUCCCUUCCCGCUCCUGCUUCUCCCUGACCACACUCACUCAGCCUCAUCCCUUCAUCCUCCCAAGAGGACGAGAGCUCCCAUCUCCACUCAAGGCCACAUGUCUUGGCCCCUCCCCUGAUGCUUCUCCUUGGCUCGAGGCUCCCACAAGACCCUGUUUUGUGUCUGAACUGACGAGAUAGUGAAUCAAGGAAUCCUGCUGCACCAGGAACCACCCCGUGUUCCACAGAGAGCGCAGUGCUCCCAGAAUCUAAAUGGUGGGCUCCAUGCAGGGAGCCCUGCAGACACAGCUUAGCUUCCCCAAGGGUCAAGCGAGGAGUGAAGGGCUUUCAAAGGUUUGCUGCAUCGGCUGUCAGCUGCAAGCUCCUUUGUUUCGGCAGGGCCAGGAGAGCACUGCCGGAGGCCAAGCUCUCCUAACUCAAGCUCAGGCUCCCACUUUGGUGCCAGCUCCAAUCACAGGGGGCACGGGGUGGCCAGGAGCUGUGGCUGCCAAGGUUGGGCAGCAACCAGAACUUGGGGUGUGGAAGAGUGGUUGUUGAGAGCCUUCUGGACGGCACUGUGGGCCACUUUGUUUCUUUCUUUGGGUAGUUCUCUGCUUUUACUGUCACAUCUCCCUUGGCCCAGGUACGAAGAAGAAAAGGUUGCCCACCAUUCCAGUUCUACAAGGAUCAAGGCAUCCUCUACUGCUGUCACCCACCCCAUGACAGUGCGCCCUGAGGGGGAUUCAGGAUAGAGCUAAUCAGGGAGUACUCUGUGCUUUGGAUGAAAGGGGCCCCUAGCUAGUUAGAUGCAUACCUCAGGAAGAAUUUCAAUGACCCCAGAUCUUAUAUCUUCCCGUACAUAGAAAAACACUAAAAUCAUUAACUUGAGAUGUCUGUUCUUUGUGAUUAGCAGUUGUCUUUUUAUGCUAGACUGCAUGUUUUUCUCAACAAAAAAGUUCAUAUAUGUCCUGGCUCCUUCCAGGAGCCUUCUGCUUCCUCUUUGGAGCA